rnacentral:rRNA from 1 species
AUUGAACGCUGGCGGCAUGCUUUACACAUGCAAGUCGAGCGGCAGCGCGGGGGCAACCCUGGCGGUGAGCGGCGGACGGGUGAGUAAUGCAUCGGAACGUAUCCCGUAGUGGGGGACAACCCAGCGAAAGCUGGGCUAAUACCGCAUAUGCUCUACGGAGGAAAGUGGGGGACCGCAAGGCCUCACGCUAUGGGAGCGGCCGAUGUCCGAUUAGCUAGUUGGUGGGGUAAUGGCUUACCAAGGCGACGAUCGGUAGCUGGUCUGAGAGGAUGAUCAGCCACACUGGGACUGAGACACGGCCCAGACUCCUACGGGAGGCAGCAGUGGGGAAUUUUGGACAAUGGGGGCAACCCUGAUCCAGCCAUGCCGCGUGAGGGAAGAAGGCCUUCGGGUUGUAAACCGCUUUUGUUCGGGAAGAAAAGGCCGAGGUUAAUACCCUUGGUUCUUGACGGUACCGGGAGAAUAAGCACCGGCUAACUACGUGCCAGCCGCCGCCGUAA